rnacentral:rRNA from 1 species
UACGGGGGGAGCAAGCGUUGUUCGGAUUUACUGGGCGUAAAGGGCGCGUAGGCGGCCAUCACAAUUCAGUUGUGAAAUCUCCGAGCUUAACUCGGAAAGGUCAACUGAUACUGUGCGGCUAGAGUGCGGAAGGGGCAACUGGAAUUCUUGGUGUAGCGGUGAAAUGCGUAGAUAUCAAGAGGAACACCUGCGGCGAAGGCGGGUUGCUGGGCCGACACUGACGCUGAGGCGCGAAAGCCAGGGGAGCGAACGGG